GCGGGCCCUACCCAUUGCAAGUUCGAGCGGUAGCACAGAGAGCUUGCUCUCGGGUGACGAGCGGCGGACGGGUGAGUAAUGUCUGGGAAACUGCCUGAUGGAGGGGGAUAACUACUGGAAACGGUAGCUAAUACCGCAUAACGUCGCAAGACCAAAGUGGGGGACCUUCGGGCCUCAUGCCAUCAGAUGUGCCCAGAUGGGAUUAGCUAGUAGGUGGGGUAACGGCUCACCUAGGCGACGAUCCCUAGCUGGUCUGAGAGGAUGACCAGCCACACUGGAACUGAGACACGGUCCAUACUCCUACGGGAGGCAGCAGUGGGGAAUAUUGCACAAUGGGCGCAAGCCUGAUGCAGCCAUGCCGCUUGUGUGAAUAAGGCCUUUUUUUUGUAAUU
rnacentral:rRNA from 1 species